UAAAUAUCUAAAUUUAAGUAUUUCAUUUACAAUGAUAAGAUGUUAUUAAUAACUUUAUUUAAUUAAUAAAAUUAAUUUUUUUUUAUUUAAGUAA
rnacentral:tRNA from 1 species